CAUGGUUAGCACCAUGGCUGUAGCAGCUAAUAGGCGCCAUACUGCUUGUACAGAUUAUGUUCAAGUGUAUUGGGAAUAUUAACUCAGUUUUCAAAUGGCAUUACCUUUGAAGCACAUAAAUUAACUAUUAAAAUGUGUCUGUCGUGGUUGUUUAUUUUUGUUAUUCUUUUUUUCGAACAGACCAUGCUACUGCGUGUUUUGUUUAGUGGGGAGCAGAAGUACGUGAAACUUUCUGACCUAACAUUUGAUGCAUUCGUGAGAGAAGUGUGCCUGAAAUUUAACAUUCCAGAAGGCAGACAGCAGGAUCUGAAGGUGUAUGACCAGUCUGAUACAGAAGUUGAUGUAGAUGUUUUUGAAGAAAUAGUGAAUCAGUCACCUGGAACCUUUCGAGUUAUGUUGAGCAACAAAGAAAAUCCUGGUGCUGUUCUAUCAUCAUCAUCAUCUUCAUCUUCAGUCACAUCUGAUGAUACAAUCAUUCUGAAUUUCACAAUGUGUGACCCAUCAGAAGAAGAAGCCACUGCUGAAG